UACGGAGGGGGCUAGCGUUGUCCGGAUUUAUUGGGCGUAAAGAGCUCGUAGGUGGUUCGGUAAGUCGGAUGUGAAAUCUCCAGGCUCAACCUGGAGGGGUCAUUCGAUACUGCCGUGACUAGAGGUCGGUAGGGGAGUGUGGAAUUCCUGGUGGAGCGGUGAAAUGCGCAGAUAUCAGGAGGAACACCCGUAGCGAAGGCGGCACUCUGGGCCGAUACUGACACUGAGGAGCGAAAGCGUGGGGAGCGAACAGG
rnacentral:rRNA from 1 species